rnacentral:rRNA from 1 species
UACGUAGGUGGCAAGCGUUGUCCGGAUUUACUGGGCGUAAAGAGCGCGCAGGCGGUCGUCCAAGUCGAAUGUGAAAGCCCCCGGCUCAACUGGGGAGGGUCAUUCGAUACUGUUCGACUCGAAGGCAGGAGAGGGAAGUGGAAUUCCGGGUGUAGUGGUGAAAUGCGUAGAUAUCAGGAAGAACACCCGUGGCGAAGGCGGCUCUCUGGAACGCAACUGGACGCAUGAGACGCG